GAUGAACGCUGGCGGCGUGCCUAAUACAUGCAAGUCGAGCGAACGGACGAGAAGCUUGCUUCUCUGAUGUUAGCGGCGGACGGGUGAGUAACACGUGGAUAACCUACCUAUAAGACUGGGAUAAAUUCGGGAAACCGGAGCUAAUACCGGAUAAUAUUUUGAACCGCAUGGUUCAAAAGUAAAAGACGGUCUCGCUGUCACUUAUAGAUGGAUCCGCGCUGCAUUAGCUAGUUGGUAAGGUAACGGCUUACCAAGGCAACGAUGCAUAGCCGACCUGAGAGGGUGAUCGGCCACACUGGAACUGAGACACGGUCCAGACUACUACGGGAGGCAGCAGUAGGGAAUCUUCCGCAAUGGGCGAAAGCCUGACGGAGCAACGCCGCGUGAGUGAUGAAGGUCUUCGGAUCGUAAAACUCUGUUAUUAGGGAAGAACAUAUGUGUAAGUAACUGUGCACAUCUUGACGGUACCUAAUCAGAAAGCCACGGCUAACUACGUG
rnacentral:rRNA from 1 species